GGGGGCUUAGCUUAGUUGGUUAAAGCAUCCCGCUCAUAACGGGAGGAUCGUGGGUUCAAGUCCCUCAGCCCCUACCA
rnacentral:tRNA from 1 species